rnacentral:tRNA from 1 species
UGCAGUGUAGUGGUUACACACCUGGACUCUGGAACCAGACAACCUGGGUUCGAAUCCCAUCUCUGCAA